rnacentral:rRNA from 1 species
GCGGGCCCGGAUUCCGACAAAUGGCUUGAAGCCAUGAAAUCCGAGAUAGGAUCCAUGUAUGAAAACAAAGUAUGGACUUUGACGGACUUGCCCGAUGAUCGGCGAGCCAUAGAAAAUAAAUGGAUCUUUAAGAAGAAGACGGACGCAGAUGGCAGUGUGACCAUCUAUAAAGCUCGGCUUGUCGCUAAGGGUUAUCGACAAGUUCAAGGGGUUGACUACGAUGAGACCUUCUCACCCGUAGCGAAGCUGAAGUCUGUCCGAAUCAUGUUAGCAAUUGCCGCAUUCUAUGAUUAUGAGAUAUGGCAAAUGGAC